rnacentral:rRNA from 2 species
UUGAGGAAGUAAAAGUCGUAACAAGGUCUCCGUUGGUGAACCAGCGGAGGGAUCAUU